CGGAAUGCUUCGAGGAGCAGCAGAGAGAGACCUGGAGAUGCGAUGAACCGAUGUCUGUGAAGACGCAGAUGUUAAGAGCCUCGUGUUGAAACGCCCUGACAGCUCAGACCCUCAGGGUCAAACAGGCCUUUGAUAACGAGUGACCCCCAGCUUUAUAUGUGGUCUUAGUCUGAUCAAACCCUCGACCUCAGGUUCAGUGCAGCCUAUCUGUUGGUUUGGAGCCCUGCAAACCACCAGGAAGAUGUUGACAUAUGGCAGCGCUGGUGCAAUACACAAGGCAUGGAUUACUUGGAGCAUAAUAAACAGGAGCAUAAAGAAGGAUCUGUGCAGAGUUAGGAGCGACUCCCCUCCGACCUUCUAUCGUUUUAUCCUCUGAGGUCUGGAGAUGCAGACUUCCUUAUAGUCCUGCAGUGGAGACGUCGGCUCAUAAUGGAGCUGUGUUUGUGCAGGGAUGCAGCAGGUGCUGCCUACACUGAAGGUCUGUGUGCUGCAUCCACCUGUACUUUCUGAUCCAAUCAACCAUUUGUACCAGGUCCAGUCGCGGAGCGGCGUGCGUGUUCUUUUAUCCAGCAGUGCAUUGAUGCCAACAAACCUUUGAAGACUGUGGAGCGGAGCUUAGAAUCGGCUGCGACAUUAAAACCUGCACCUUCGGAAACAAGCACGCAGGUUGUGAGCGCGCGCUGAGAGACACUGAGGAGGAGAGCUGGGGCGCGAAAGCAUCGACCGAAGGCACCGAGAGCCUCAGUGAAACCAGUAAAGACCGUCUCCUGCCGCCAUCAGGUCACUAUGACGCCAACACGAUUUGCCCUUGUGAUUCUCGGGUUUGCUGUGGCCUGUGCUUUGGAGACCAGCAACUCCACCACUGAUGAGCUGAACAUAAAGAGCAGCCCGGGCAAUGACACAGAGUCGCCAGGGACCAGCACAGCGAGCGAUGAUGACAGCGUCACUACCUCGUUCCUCAACAUCACCGUGGACACCACCAGCAUCCCCAGUACCAACAGUACCAACAGUGCCAGUAACCAAACCAGCACCACCAGCAGCGCCACCAGCACCACCAGCAGCGCCACCAGCAACACCAGCAGCACCACCAGCAACACCAGCACCACCAGCAAGCCGGUACCAACGGCGCCGCCAGGUCAGCGCUCGCGAUCCACUCUGUCAGAUGGUGAUUCUGAACCGUGUGGAUGUGAACGUUGCCUGUUCGGACCGUCGCGCUGUGCUUCACGUGUUUCUCUUCUUCAGAUAAUGCUAUUCCCACCACACCUAAAUCCAGUGGACCAGUCACAACCACUUCUACCACCACCAAAAACAAUAAAGGUCAGACGUGAGCGCUGA
rnacentral:lncRNA from 1 species